rnacentral:rRNA from 1 species
GAGUACGGCCGCAAGGCUGAAACUUAAAGGAAUUGGCGGGGGAGCACUACAACGGGUGGAGCCUGCGGUUUAAUUGGACUCAACGCCGGAAAACUCACCGGGGGCGACAGCAAUAUGUAGGCCAGGUUAAAGGUCUUACCUGAAUCGCUGAGAGGAGGUGCAUGGCCGUCGUCAGUUCGUACUGUGAAGCAUCCUGUUAAGUCAGGCAACGAGCAAGACCCGUGCCCACUGUUACCAGCAUAUCCUUUAUGGAUGAUGGGGACUCUGUGGGGACCGCUGCUGCUAAAGCAGAGGAAGGUGCGGGCUACGGUAGGUCAGUAUGCCCCGAAUCUCCCGGGCUACACGCGGGCUACAAUGGUUGGGACAAUGGGUAUCUACUCCGAAAGGAGUUGGCAAUCUCUUAAACCCAAUCGUAGUUCGAAUUGAGGGCUGUAACUCGCCCUCAUGAAGCUGGAAUCCGUAGUAAUCGCGUUUCAACAUAGCGCGGUGAAUCUGUCCCUGCUCCUUGCACACACCGCCCGUCAAACCAUCCGAGUGAGGUAUGGGUGAGGGCACGAACUUAGUGUCGUGCUCGAACCUAAAUUUCGCAAGGAGGGUUAAGUCGUAACAAGGUAGCCGUAGGGGAAUCUGCGGCUGGAUCACCUCCU